GAUAACCGUGUGUGUGUGUGUAUGUGCGUGUGUGUGAUAUUAAUAAACAUGUAGAUUUAGUUUAUCUUUUUACUACAACAUCGUAAAUUAAUUAAACUUUAAAUCAUGAAAAGAAAACCGCAGGACAAAUUACGUUUUACCAUGUUUGAUGGCAUAAGAGAUGCCUGUAGUCGCACCCCUUAUUUCAGCAGCUCAUUUUGAGGAAAACAAGUUUUUUAGUGCUUUAACGCAUGUAAUAUAGGUCCAAAUUGGCAUCUAGGAUCCAAGGUGAUUUUUUUUUAAACAUUCUGGUGGGAUAAAAAAAAUGUUUCAUAUAUGGCAUCAAAUAUUGUAUUACUUGACUGGAAUUUGGAUAGAGAUGGAUUUACUUGCAGUUCUAAGUAUUAUACUUACCAAGAAGAGGCCGUGGAUUGGACUGUUUUCGACGCGACAUGAUGAUGGAGCACCUGUAGAGUAAAUGAAAUGAUGAGCAUGCGUAAUAGAGGAUGUUGGCGAGCCAGUAAAUAUUUCACUGCAGUCAUGACACGCUGCUGAUGCAAAUGCAAGCCCACAGAUACACAGUUUCAUUUCAUUAACGAUCAUACCUACGCCACUAACCUUCAGGUAAAUUUACGAGAAUGCCAUUUCUUUUAUCAGUGAAACCUGCCCCAAAAUGUGUCUGCUUCAUCAUUUUUU